rnacentral:rRNA from 1 species
UACAGAGGGUGCAAGCGUUAAUCGGAAUUACUGGGCGUAAAGCGCGCGUAGGUGGUUUGUUAAGUUGGAUGUGAAAUCCCCGGGCUCAACCUGGGAACUGCAUUCAAAACUGACUGACUAGAGUAUGGUAGAGGGUGGUGGAAUUUCCUGUGUAGCGGUGAAAUGCGUAGAUAUAGGAAGGAACACCAGUGGCGAAGGCGACCACCUGGACUAAUACUGACACUGAGGCACGAAAGCGUGGGGAGCAAACAGG